rnacentral:rRNA from 1 species
AUUGAACGCUGGCGGCAGGCCUAACACAUGCAAGUCGAGCGGAUGAAGGGAGCUUGCUCCUGGAUUCAGCGGCGGACGGGUGAGUAAUGCCUAGGAAUCUGCCUGGUAGUGAGGGAUAACGUCCGGAAACGGGCGCUAAUACCGCAUACGUCCUGAGAGAGAAAGUGGGGGAUCUUCGGACCUCACGCUAUCAGAUGAGCCUAGGUCGGAUUAGCUAGUUGGUGGGGUAAAGGCCUACCAAGGCGACGAUCCGUAACUGGUCUGAGAGGAUGAUCAGUCACACUGGAACUGAGACACGGUCCAGACUCCUACGGGAGGCAGCAGUGGGGAAUAUUGGACAAUGGGCGAAAGCCUGAUCCAGCCAUGCCGCGUGUGUGAAGAAGGUCUUCGGAUUGUAAAGCACUUUAAGUUGGGAGGAAGGGCAGUAAGUUAAUACCUUGCUGUUUUGACGUUACCAACAGAAUAAGCACCGGCUAACUUCGUG